rnacentral:sRNA from 1 species
UGUACAAUUAGAUCUUCUUGACUAAGAAAAAAUGCAGACAAGCAAUUACUCCGUUACUUUAAUUACUCUCCUAAUUAUAACGAUAACCUUGUCACAUUAUCAUAAUUCCCCAAACAGAAAAACGCAUGCUCCAAAUUGCACCAAUAUUUGGUAAUUUUACCUUGUUAACGGCUCACUGUCAGUAUGUAGAGCACUACAUUUUUUCCCCAUUACCUUUCUAUUGCACAAUCUAUAUUUCUUUGCCUCAGAAAAUGAUAAUACAUUCUGUACAACAUGUUUGUGUCGCACAAACCCGUGAUUCGAAUAUGGCUUUUUAACAUCUCGCAGUUUCAGAAGCUAUCUCCUGAGCAGUUUGUAAUUCUCCCCUGGCUGUUUGAUGGUAAUGGGAGCUGUACAUGUAUCUGGAGAGAGGAGAACCAGCCUGGGACUCAAGAUAUAUUAAAGACUAUGCUCAUGGGCAUCAAUUCUUUCCUGUCCUUUAGGGCAGUAUUCAGGCCACACGGUUCAAUAACAGGAAAGAAUGUCGU